GAUCGAGGGGACGAGGAGCUCCUGCCUCCUCGACGGCCGACCUCCUCCUCGCCCCGCCGCUGCGUCCGGCGCCGCCACGGCCUCUGGAGCCAGGGAAGCCAUGGCCUGAGCUCGGCCUCGAGGUCCCCGCCGCCGUCUCCUGCAGCUUCUGCCCCGCCGCCUCACCGCCCGAGCUCGCCGUCGCACCAACCUCGGCGCCGCGCCGCCGCCGGCUCUGGUCGCCUCCACCUCCGCGCCAUGAGGAACCCGCCACACGCGUCAAGGCGAGGCGCCUCCUGGGCUCCGUCCGUUUCCAGAGCGAGCGCCCGCGAAUACCUAGCUAGCCGCCGCCGUCGUGACCGUUCCAGCCACCGCCAAGGCCACACUUCCUCUUCCACCUCCGCGUACUCCUGGUUGCAGCCCCAGCUCUUCACGGGCAGGGAUCUGCGGCUCGCCGGCGUGGCCCGUGGCAGGGGAGAGAAGGGGGGCAUGAUCGGCGGGGCAGAGUUCUUUCGGAAGGACAGCGUGGUGGGCAACAUGGACGGAUACCUCAACUACCUGUCCCUCGAGUAUGACUUCGUCUCGGACACCAAUCCUGCUUGGGUAUCUUCAUUUUGGAAGCAGGAAUCCUUUCCUCAUAAGAUGGAUGAGCUGUAGGAUUUGAUUCUGUUCAGCUUGAAUUAGUUUUUCAUCAUCAUGUUCUUUGUAUUAGGAAUUCAUGCCUUCCAGCUCUAAUUUUUUCGCAUUGUUGGUGUAUGCUGGGAGUCACAUUAUUAUGCUGCUAGCAAACAGUAGGAUUGGAAGUCUUACUCUGUAGGUUAGUAAUAUCUUUUCCACUAUACCGAGGUUCAGCAAUUUAAUUCGUAUUAAGGUCACACAAGCAGUUUGGUUUUCAGAUUUGUCUUGACAAACAUAUUUGGUUCAGCAAUUUAAUUCAUAUUAAAGUCACACAAGCAGUUUGGUUAUUAGAUUUGUCUUGACAAACAUACUUUGCAGAUUAUCCUCACAUAUGAAAUUGAUUUCUGCAAGUUCCUUUCACUUAUUUAUUUCUUCACUUGGUUAUGAUGUACAGCUAUUCGUUUUCAUGAUAAUUCAUGCGUUUUGUAGUUUUCACUGACAGAAUCUUGUCUUGAAACAAGAUUGGUUCCCAUUGUUACAGUGAAGUAGCUACCAAGCAGCGAGGCCAUCGAGUGACACGAGACCGCGGGACGGCGUGAGAAGAAGCAGGGGGUGUCUGGCGGGAUGGAGAAGACCACAGGGAAGUGUGGCGAUGGAGUGCAAUCCCGAAGAAGAAGAACAUUGCAAAGAAGGACCCUGGCCAAGUGCCACCCAAUUCUCUUUCACCGACCCAUCUAAUGGCCAUCAAUUCAAUUGGUCCAAGCUGUUGUGUUGACCUUCCCAUUGAUCCACUACAUCCUCGCUCAGCUGGUUCUGCUAUGUUUCUUCUCCAUGGCGUUGCUGGUUGCCGGCGUGCCUGACAUCGCGCCUUAUGUGACGUGACAUGAUGCUCCUCUACGUGUUCUUCUCACCCCGGUUUCCAUGAGGAGAGAUGUUGUUCUGUGGUUCUGUAGUUCUACUCCAUAGCAAUGAUGGAGUCGCCUCCAUAUGGAUAUCAAUUAUCUCGGGAUCAUGAGAGCUGUCUACGCAACGGCCAGGGGGCAUAUGCUUCUCCUAGCACUAAGACCUUCAUCCUAUUUGAGCCAGAAUGGCUUUGGUGCCCUCUCUCACUCAUGGUGAGGCCGUGAUGGAGUCGCCUCCAUAUGGAUAGCAAUUAUCUCGGGAUCAUGGUGAGGUUACUAACUCGACCCUUUGUUUGGCUCUGUUCGUGUGGAUCUAUUCAUGUGCAUCUGUAAACUUUAUUUAGGUACAAGUAUUGUUCUAGCGCUUGUGUUUAUUAUUUUUGUAAAAAUAAGAUUUAUUGAUCUCAUUAAAUUGAGGUUUUAUGUUCACAUGAAAUUCUAACUGAAUUUGCUAUUCAGCUGACAAUUCCAACAAUUUUUUGUAUUGUAUUUGCAUGUCGAGAGCUGUCUACGCAACGGCCAGGGGGCAUAUGCUUCUCCUAGCACUAAGACCUUCAUCCUAUUUGAGCCAGAAUGGCUUUGGUGCCCUCUCUCGCUCAUGGUGAGGCCGUGCAUGCUUGCCAUGUUGUGGCUACGAAAUCUCAGACUGAGUCGCUUCGGUCGGGCACUAUUCAGGGGAAUAUUUGUUCAGAAUCUUCAGUCUUGUAAUUUUCUCCUUGAUGACAAUGACCAUGCUGUGCUGGGGGAUUUGGGAUUCCAUCCUUGCUGUUUGGACUUCCGCUGCCAAAUCCAGAUCUUAUCCAAAGACUUGGGACUCCAAAUUACAUGCCCCAGAACAUUGGCGACCAGACAUCAGAGGCCCAAUUAGUUACGAGACUGACUCAUUGGGGUUUCGCUUGGAGCAUUCUUGAGAUGUUCAGUGGCGUUCAGACUUGGUGUGCCAAAUCACCAGAUGAGAUUUAUCAGUCAGUUGUCCUGAAGAAAGAGAAACCGAUGUUCCUAUACAAUUUACCUAUGGAGGUCGCUAAUGUCCUCUCUGGCUGCUAUGAGUAUGAAUUUCGGGAUCACUCCUUGAUGUUAGAUAUCUUACAGUCAUUUGAAAGGUUUCUCUACAUUAGCUUUGUGUAUUCAAAUUUUUUGUUCCUGACAAGAAGUGCAUUGCACAUGCACACUUAUAUGAACAAGCCUUACAUGAUUUGCUCUUUUACUGAUGGACUGAGGAGGUCAGAGAUGUAUAACAGCCAUAUUGAUCCAAAUGACAAGUACGGCAGUGCUAACCUGCUUACCUAGAAUUUUACCACAUCCUAAGACUUGCAAAUCUGUAUAAUAGGAAUGGCUAGCUGUUUUCUGGUCUACAACCGUGACAUCUGGUGGCAUCUCUCACCAUGUCUGCACAUAGUGUUUAGUCAUGAUUCUUGCAUACUGUCGAGACUCGAGAAGGGCGUGACAUUUUUUCCUGAACUGAUUUUUAAUUUUUUUUGCUUACCGGUUGAGCUCGGUUUCAACUCUUACCUGAGUAGUUGAUAGGCAAGCCUGAUGCAGGUGUAUGGAAAUUAUGCAAUUCCAUGAGGUUUGGAGUUGUCCAGUAUACUACUGAGGCCUACAUAUUUUGCUGAUGCAGGUUGGAGGUGACACAUGAACGCUGGCAAUGCAAAAUAGCAGAUAUAAAAUAACUGCAGCUCAGGCCAUGUAGUUCUACAACAACCAAGGAAGAAGUCCGUUUUUUAAGCCGACCUUGGCCAAGCAUUUAAGCUUAUAUGGUUGCUCUCUAUUUUUCAGAGGUGCGUGUACUGAGGACGCCCAUGAUUUAGGGCCAAAAAUCUAGACAAAGUGACAAAACUUUGUACGAGACUUACUUGAAGCCAAGGAGGUCAGGGGAGGAGGACAACAAGGCUGGGGAGCGGAGGCGGAGGCUGACGGGGAAGAGAAUGAUCAAGCAUGUAAAUCUAGAGCACAAGCUCGUGAUUUAUCAAGGGAGUGGCGCUGCCGCCGGAUUAGAAAAUCAUAUCUCACGUUAAGGUGUUUUUGUCUUUUGUUUCUGUACAAAUUUGGUGCAGGCAAGUUUUUGAUGAUAUAUAUAAGAUGACUAGCAUUAUCUUUUUAUUGAGUGCAUGUUCUGGUA